rnacentral:lncRNA from 1 species
GUUCAUCCUGCGAAUUAGUGAAGCACUAGUCUAGUCUUAUUAGGAACACAGUCCAUUUUUUUCUUUUAAGGUUUGAAAGUUUAGCUUUUCUAUAAUUUCAGAAAUAUAAUGUUAAGAGGGAAACACUACACUUUAAAUGUCUUGUUAUUUUAUAAGUACAAAACCUUUUUAAACAGAGGGGAAAAAAAUUUAAUGUGAGAUGCCUGCAUGAAAUCAUUGAUUUUUUUCCCCCAAAUAACAAUGUAAGUUUACAUUUAUAUUAAAACAACAAACUGCUAAGUUUCCAGUUUUAUCUAAAAUGAAUGUAAUUAUCACUCAAGGUCAGCAUUUUGCAUUUCCCUCGCUUGAACUGUAAUUUAUCCCACAAAGUGAGGAAUUUUUUUUUU